rnacentral:rRNA from 1 species
GACGAACGCUGGCGGCGUGGAUUAGGCAUGCAAGUCGAACGGUAGGAUCCUUUCGGGGAUCUGAGAGUGGCGAACGGGUGAGUAACACGUAGGUGAUCUACCCUCAAGACGGGGACAACCCAGGGAAACUUGGGCUAAUACCGGAUGUGAGCUAUCGCGAGAUAGUUUGAAAGGUGGCUUCGGCUGCCGCUUGAGGAUGAGCCUGCGUCCUAUUAGCUAGUUGGUGAGGUAACGGCUCACCGAGGCAGUGAUAGGUAGGCGGCCUUAACGGGUGGUCGCCCACACUGGGAUUGAGAUACGGCCCAGACUCCUACGGGAGGCAGCAGUCGAGAAUAGUCUACAAUGGUCGAAAGACUGAUAGUGCGACGCCGCGUGAACGAAGAAGCCCUUCGGGGUGUAAAGUUCUUUUAUAUGUGAGCAGUGACACCCAUAUUAAUAGUACGGGUGUAGAGAUAUUAGCAUAUGAAUAAGCAACGGCUAACUCCGUGCCAGCAGCCG